CAAAUGCGGCCUACGAAUGCAGCCUUCUUUUCCCGGAUUUGAAGGAUGCAUCGGCUGUAUCCUUCACGGCCCAACGUAUCCCAAGAUCCUUCACGGCCCAACGUAUCCCUCCCAAGAUUAAUUGCGCAUUCAAUCAAGAUGGCGGAGAAUGGCGAUUUAGGUUCUGCAUUUAAAUGACAAUUCUGGAGAAAAUAGGCCUGCAGGUGAAGGUGACUCCCCUGCAGGCAAAGAAAAAAUGGGACAAUUUAAAAAAAAAUAUAAAGAUUGCAAGUAUCCAGGGUCAGGAGAGGGGGUAGGUGGGAAACCCAGUGCUGCCACUUGGCCCUGGUUUGUCCCCAUGGAUGAGGUAUUG